rnacentral:rRNA from 1 species
CUACGGGCCGCUGCAGUGAGGAAUUUUGCGCAAUGGGGGAAACCCUGACGCAGCAACGCCGCGUGAGUGAUGAAGGCUUUCGGGUCGUAAAGCUCUGUCAAGUGGGAAGAAUCUGUUUUAUGCUAAUAUCAUAAUGCACUGACGGUACCACUGAAGGAAGCACCGGCUAACUCCGUGCCAGCAGCCGCGGUAAUACGGGAGGGUGCAAGCGUUACUCGGAAUCACUGGGCGUAAAGGGCGCGCAGGCGGUCCGAUUAGUCAGAUGUGAAAGCCCGGGGCUUAACCCCGGAAGUGCAUUUGAAACUGUCGGACUUGAGUAUGGGAGAGGGAAGUGGAAUUCCUGGUGUAGAGGUGAAAUUCGUAGAUAUCAGGAGGAACACCGGUGGCGAAGGCGACUUCCUGGACCAAUACUGACGCUGAGGCGCGAAGGCGUGGGUAGCAAACAGGAUUAGAUACCCCUGUAGUC